CAGAAAGUAGAGCUUUGUAGGUGAAUAAGUGGCUCUGGAAUCUUCUUUGAAUUCUGGUUCUGUAACUGCCUAGGUCUCUCUGAAUUGGGAAUGCCUAGAAGACCAGCAGGAAACCCCAAGAAUUUAGUGGAACAGAACAGAGACCUGGCACUUGUCUGAGCUGAAGAGUGUGAAUGGAGGACUUCUUGGUGAACUCAUAUGACCCAGUAAACCAGUGUUCUAGCUUGACUCCAGGGAGCAGUUACUUAAUGAUCAAGAAGUUAUUUUGUCACCGGAUGACUAAGCAAGAAGAAAUGGACCCAAAUUAAGGCAAGGGAGAUUUCAGUUGACACCUGACGAAAUAUUUGACGAAAGAUGGAACACAGGCUGGACUAGGCCACAGGCAAGAAAACGGGAACUUCAUAUCUUUCCAGAGCCCUUCAAGGAACAGACAGAGCAGGAGACUUUGCAUAGUCUAGACUUGAGGCAAGCCUGCCUGCAAGCAGGGGAAGGCCAAGGUUCCUUUUAGAUCUGGUAACACUUCAGAAGAGUGGCCAGAUGCUCUAGCAAGCUGAAUUUUUAUUAUUAACAACUGAACAAGAACCUAUUCCUAGAAGAAAAAGGAGGGCUGAGAGCCUGUCUAGGAUUCCAAGAGCUCAAAUUACCUGCUAGGUCUACCCCUUGAGCCCUAGAAGCCUGGUUCAUUUUCUUAACCACUUUUAGGGGGCCAAAGAAGGGGAAUCUUAAAUGUUAAAGUCCAUUUAGUGGAAGAAACUUUCAAAUAGUCAAAUAAA